rnacentral:rRNA from 1 species
CUUCCCCUUCGGGGGACAAAGUGACAGGUGGUGCAUGGUUGUCGUCAGCUCGUGUCGUGAGAUGUUGGGUUAAGUCCCGCAACGAGCGCAACCCUUAAGCUUAGUUGCCAUCAUUAAGUUGGGCACUCUAAGUUGACUGCCGGUGACAAACCGGAGGAAGGUGGGGAUGACGUCAAAUCAUCAUGCCCCUUAUGAUUUGGGCUACACACGUGCUACAAUGGACAAUACAAAGGGCAGCGAAACCGCGAGGUCAAGCAAAUCCCAUAAAGUUGUUCUCAGUUCGGAUUGUAGUCUGCAACUCGACUACAUGAAGCUGGAAUCGCUAGUAAUCGUAGAUCAGCAUGCUACGGUGAAUACGUUCCCGGGUCUUGUACACACCGCCCGUCACACCACGAGAGUUUGUAACACCCGAAGCCGGUGGAGUAACCUUUUAGGAGCUAGCCGUCGAAGGUGGGACAAAUGAUUGGGGUGAAGUCGUAACAAGGUAGCCGUAUCGGAAGGUGCGGCUGGAUCACCUCCUUUCUAAGGAUAUAUUCGGAAC